GACGAACGCUGGCGGCGUGCUUAACACAUGCAAGUCGAACGAUGAAGCCGGAGCUUGCUCUGGUGAAUUAGUGGCAAACGGGUGAGUAACACGUGAGUAACCUGCCCUUGACUCUGGGAUAACUGCGGGAAACUGUAGCUAAUACCGGAUACGACCCUCGGAGGCAUCCCCUGGGGGUGGAAAGAAUUUCGGUCAAGGAUGGACUCGCGGCCUAUCAGCUAGUUGGUGAGGUAAAGGCUCACCAAGGCGACGACGGGUAGCCGGCCUGAGAGGGUGACCGGCCACACUGGGACUGAGACACGGCCCAGACUCCUACGGGAGGCAGCAGUGGGGAAUAUUGCACAAUGGGCGCAAGCCUGAUGCAGCGACGCCGCGUGAGGGAUGACGGCCUUCGGGUUGUAAACCUCUUUUAGCAGGGAAGAAGCGAAAGUGACGGUACCUGCAGAAAAAGCACCGGCUAACUACGUGCCAGCCGCCGCCGUAA
rnacentral:rRNA from 1 species